AUUGAACGCUGGCGGCAGGCCUAACACAUGCAAGUCGAGCGGAGCGGCGGACGGGUGAGUAUUGCCUAGGACUCUGCCUGGUACUGGGGGAUAACGUCCGGAAACGGGCGCUAAUACCGCAUACUCUCAGAUGAGCCUAGGUCGGAUUAGCUAGUUGGGGGGGUACAGGCCUACCAGGGCCACGAUCCGUACCUGGUCGGAGAGGAUGAUCAGCCACACUGGAACUGAGACACGGUCCAGACUCCUAGGGGAGGCAGCAGUGGGGAAUAUUGGACAAGGGGCGAAAGCCGGAUCCAGCCAUGCCGCGUGUGUGAAGAAGGUCUUCGGAUUGUAAAGCACUUUAAGAUGGGAGGCGUUACCAAAAGAAUAAGCACCGGCUAACUUCGUGCCAGCAGCCGCGGUAAUUC
rnacentral:rRNA from 1 species